GUAAGAGAAUUAAAAUAUCAGCUUACAUCAGUCGGGGAGAGGCAGGCUCCAGGGGCCCGGGGCGGGAGCGCUGCCAGGAGGGGGCGCGGCUGGCGCGCCUCGGCCGCUCCGCUCGGUCUGGGGCAGCGGCUGCACGCCAGCGACCGACAGCUGGGCCCUGGCCUCGGCCUGACAGCCAGCUAGGGGGCGGCGGGGGAGCCACCCUCCAGGCCUCAGUUUACCUUCUUGUUAAGAGCUUCUAGGAAAGUUUGGGCUGCCUCCUUUCAAGAGAAUCAGUGUCCCUUGUGGGGAUGGACCUGCGAGGAGCAAAGAGCUGAUGCUGGGAAAGAUUGAAGGCAGGAGAAGAGGGUGACAGAGGAUGAGAUGGUUGGAUGGCAUCACCGAUUCAAUGGACAUGAGCUUGGGCAAACUCCAGGAGAUGGUCCAACAACAUGAGCUGGGUCCUGGUAGUGAGCCGGACACUCAUCUCUCCCUCGGUGACCCUCACGUGGACCCUUGGCAGAUAAGGGCACUGGGGCCCGGAACCUUCCCACUGGCUUCCCACGCCAGUCCCCAAAGCGGUAGAGAGUAAC
ensembl:lncRNA